CCACCGCAACAUGCCAGGUGUUGCCAUGAUGGAAUGGAGGCAAAAGAGGAGUUGAAAGAAAGCAAUUACAGAGGAGCAGAAAAAAAGGUGCGCCUGCCUCACCCACGGCCUGCGGGGCCAGGAUCUGCGUGAAUCCUGCCGAGAACGUGAUGAGCACCACGGGGUAGCUGACCCAGGCGAUGUACUGCAGCAGCAGAUGAUUGUCCAGGCCGCCGUGCAUCCACUUCUAAGGCGAUGGCGUAGUCCAUGACCCAACUGACCAGCGCCAUGAGCAGCCCCAGUAGGAUGAGGAAGAUCCAGUCCUCUCCCAGCCGCGAGAUCAGAAACUUCUGACAGCUGGAGGCGCAUGCUGGAAUGUGGACAGAGAAAGAAAAUCUUUUUUUUUUUAAUUGGUUUGAAAUCAGCAGAAAUGAUGCAUCAUCAAUGAUUUAUUCCAAUUUGUGCCCCCAGAACAACUGUGUACUUUUUUUUUCCAUCUGGGAAUGGAUUUUCUCUUUAUGCGACAAUUCCAUUCGAAUGGCGAGUAUAAUCAUUUGUAGAA